rnacentral:rRNA from 1 species
AACGAGAACCUCUUGGUAGGUAACUACCGAGGGACUUCUAGUGGCGAACGGGUGAGUAACACGUGAGCAACCUGCCCCGAAGACCGGGAUAGCCCAUGGAAACGUGGAUUAAUACCGGAUGUCCUCACGGAACCGCAUGGUUCUGUGAGGAAAUGCUCCGGCGCUUUGGGAUGGGCUCGCGGCCUAUCAGCUUGUUGGUGAGGUAACAGCUCACCAAGGCACUGACGGGUAGCUGGUCUGAGAGGACGAUCAGCCACACUGGGACUGAGACACGGCCCAGACUCCUACGGGAGGCAGCAGCAGGGAAUAUUGCACAAUGGGCGCAAGCCUGAUGCAGCGACGCCGCGUGAGGGAUGAAGGCUUUCGGGUUGUAAACCUCUUACAGUGGGGAAGAAGCGCAAGUGACGGUACCCACACAAGAAGGCCCGGCCAACUACGUGCCAGCAGCCGCGGUAAUACGUAGGGGCCAAGCGUUAUCCGGAUUUAUUGGGCGUAAAGGGCGCGUAGGCGGCCCGGUAAGUCGGACGUGAAAUCCCGCGGCUCAACCGCGGAAUUGCGUUCGAAACUGCCGGGCUUGAGUCCCGGAGAGGGUAGCGGAAUUCCCAGUGUAGCGGUGAAAUGCGUAGAUAUUGGGAGGAACACCAGUGGCGAAGGCGGUUACC